rnacentral:tRNA from 1 species
GGAGAGAUGGCUCAGCGGUUAAGAGCUCUGACUGCUCUUCCAGAGGUCCUGAGUUCAAUUCCCAGCUCCA